AAUAUGGUACAAUGGCGACAACCUGGAUCAGGCCAUUCCGCGGGUGUGAAGAAGGUCUUCGAAUUUUAAGGCCCUUUAGUUUGGGGGGAGGGGCGUUAGUUUAAUACCUGCAGUUUUGUAGGUUACGAACGGAUUAGGCACGGGCUAACUCUUUCCAAUCAGUCGCGGUAAUACAGAGGGUGCAAGCUUUAAUCGGAAUUACUGGGCGUAAAGCGCGCGUAGGUGGUUUAGUAAGAUGGGAGUGAAAGCCCCGGGCUUAACCUGGGAACUGCUUUCAAAACUGGCGAGCUAGAGUACGGUAGAGGGUAGUGGAAUUUCCUGUGUAGCGGUGAAAUGCGUAGAUAUAGGAAGGAACACCAGUGGCGAAGGCGACCACCUGGACUGAUACUGACACUGAGGUGCGAAAGCGUGGGGAGCAAACA
rnacentral:rRNA from 1 species